CUCUGUGACUCCUACGGGAGACAGCAGUGGGGAAUAUUGCACAAUGGGCGCAAGCCUGAUGCAGCCAUGCCGCGUGUGUGAAGAAGGCCUUCGGGUUGUAAAGCACUUUCAGUCGUGAGGAAGGUAGUGUAGUUAAUAGCUGCAUUAUUUGACGUUAGCGACAGAAGAAGCACCGGCUAACUCCGUGCCAGCAGCCGCGGUAAUACGGAGGGUGCGAGCGUUAAUCGGAAUUACUGGGCGUAAAGCGCAUGCAGGUGGUUUGUUAAGUCAGAUGUGAAAGCCCGGGGCUCAACCUCGGAAUUGCAUUUGAAACUGGCAGACUAGAGUACUGUAGAGGGGGUAGAAUUUCAGGUGUAGCGGUGAAAUGCGUAGAGAUCUGAAGGAAUACCGGUGGCGAAGGCGGCCCCCUGGACAGAUACUGACACUCAGAUGCGAAAGCGUGGGGAGCAAACAGGAUUAGAUACCCUGGUAG
rnacentral:rRNA from 1 species